GUUCCAAUUCCUGUUCCCAGAUCUUAAUCAAUUUGUAGGGAGAUUCCUUAAGACCUUCCAACAUGGAAGCUGCAACAGAUGUAACCUUUUUAAUAGAAUGAUUGCUAAAUAUAAAUUCUAUUUUUUUGGCAAAUAAAGAAGAAGAGUUGAUAACAUUUUUAGGAAUGAAAUGUUUUAAACGAAGAUAGGUGAAAAUUUCUCUCCAUGGUAUAUGAAGAGUAUCUAUAAUGGAUUGAAAAG